GGAAUCUUAGACAAUGGGGGAAACCCUGAUCUAGCCAUGCCGCGUGAGUGACGAAGGCCCUAGGGUCGUAAAGCUCUUUCGCCAGGGAUGAUAAUGACAGUACCUGGUAAAGAAACCCCGCAUACCUCCGUGCCAGCAGCCGCGGUAAUACGGAGGGGGUUAGCGUUGUUCGGAAUUACUGGGCGUAAAGCGCGCGUAGGCGGGCUGUUAAGUCGGGGGUGAAAGCCCGGGGCUCAACCCCGGAACUGCCUCCGAUACUGGCAGCCUAGAGUUCGAGAGAGGUGAGUGGAAUUCCGAGUGUAGAGGUGAAAUUCGUAGAUAUUCGGAGGAACACCAGUGGCGAAGGCGGCUCACUGGCUCGAUACUGACGCUGAGGUGCGAAAGCGUGGGGAGC
rnacentral:rRNA from 1 species